UACGGAGGGGGCUAGCGUUGUUCGGAAUUACUGGGCGUAAAGCGUACGUAGGCGGCUUUGUAAGUUAGAGGUGAAAGCCUGAUGCUCAACAUCAGAAUUGCCUUUAAGACUGCAUCGCUUGAAUCGUGGAGAGGUAAGUGGAAUUCCGAGUGUAGAGGUGAAAUUCGUAGAUAUUCGGAAGAACACCAGUGGCGAAGGCGGCUUACUGGACACGUAUUGACGCUGAGGUACGAAAGCGUGGGGAGCGAACAGG
rnacentral:rRNA from 1 species